rnacentral:rRNA from 1 species
GACGGAAGGUGCAAGCGUUGCUCGGAAUCAUUGGGCGUAAAGGGUGCGUAGGCGGCUUGGUGGGUCUGGUGUGAAAGCCCCGGGCUUAGCCCGGGAAGGGCGCUAGAAACUGCCGAGCUCGAGUGCCGGAGGGGAGAGUGGAAUUCCUGGUGUAGCGGUGAAAUACGUAGAUAUCAAGAGGAACACCUGCGGCGAAGGCGGGUUGCUGGGCUGACACUGACGCUGAGGCGCGAAAGCCAGGGGAGCGAACGGG